CUGCAUACUCAGUGGCAAUGGCACCAGCAGGAGAGAUUUCUCGUAAUUAUUAAGGCUUUACAUUGGAAUUCGAUCUGAAGUGUGACUGAAGUGCACAUGCAUGCGAUCUGUGGCUGAUCUAAUGGUUAUUAAGGGUAGGCCUUGGUGCAGAGAUGGACUUCACAAUGUCUAGUGUGCCUGCCAGGGGUAAUGUGGCAAGCUUUCAGAUAUCAUACAGGAAUAAGAAAGGAGAAAAUGGUAUCCUUGGGACUCUUUGCUCACCGACUCCGACUAUGGAAAGAUUUGCGAAGGAGCUGGAUAGCAUGUUCAAGAAGCUGUCAAAUGCUUUUCAGGUAUGAAGGAGUUAAGGUUUGGAGGAUGUCGAGAUGAUGACAAAAUGUUUCAAGAUAUUUCAUUUCAAAACUAACGAUGAUGUCUAUUCGGUUCUUGAAAAAUGGUCAUGGAUGUUUGGAGGGAAGGUGAUUGUGCUACAACAAUGGAAUUCCCACUUCGUAUUUGAUACGAAUAGAAUCAAGAGAUUGGCAGUAUAGGUGAAACUACAUAGCUUGCCAUUCCCUUAAUGGACAAUAAAGGGUUUGAGCAAGGUGUCAACCAUGGUUGAGAGACCUCUUUCAUGUGAUGAGCAGACUUUGGGGUGCACUAGGCUUGACUUCGCAAGGGUAUAUAUUGAGAUUGAUGCUUCUUUGCCUAUUAUUCAUGAUUUUGAGUUUACUUGCAGCUUAUCAAUUGAGCCUAUCUCAGUUCAUGUUGAAUAUGAAUGAAAGGUAAGGCCUGAUCAAGUUCCAUUAGAACUUUGAAUGGCAUGAAGAAGAAUUUUUUGAAGAAGUACUUUCCUGCCUCUCGAGUUGCCAAUAAGAAAAGAAAUAUAUGGGAUACAAAAAUCUUAUGGGGAAACACUCUCUAAGCAUUGGGAAAGAUUUGAGCAGUUGUGUAUUCAAUGUUCUCAUCAUCAAAUACUCAAUCAGCUACUCAUUCAAUACUUCUACGAAGGACUGAUGCCUACUGACUGCAACAUCAUUAAUGCGGCAAGUGGAGGGGUGUUGGUAGAUAAAACACCAAAGGUUGCACGCCAAUUGAUCUCAAAUAUAGUAGCCAACUCGAAAUAAUUUGUAACAUAUUCUCAUUACAAGGACAUGUUUAGGAUAUGUGUCUAACAAUGCAAGAAGAUUACAUUGAACAAGCUAAUACAGUUGAUGGAGCAUUCAAUGGCCAA